AAAGGACCGGCGUCCAAAUAAUGCCUCGCGCUAUUCCCUGUACGUCAAGCUGUGACCUCGGCAAUUACCGGGGUAGCCUCGGAGCCUUUGGCGCACCGUUAGUACGUGCACGGAAAGCGGGCGUU
rnacentral:ncRNA from 12 species